rnacentral:rRNA from 1 species
GCCACCAAACCGACGAUGGGUAGCCGACCUCAGAGGGUGAUCGGCCACAUUGGAACUGAGACACGGUCCAAACUCCUACGGGAGGCAGCAGUGGGGAAUAUUGCACAAUGGGGGAAACCCUGAUGCAGCGACGCCGCGUGAGCGAUGAAGUAUUUCGGUAUGUAAAGCUCUAUCAGCAGGGAAGAAACUGACGGUACCUGACUAAGAAGCACCGGCUAAAUAC